UACGAAGGGGGCUAGCGUUGCUCGGAAUCACUGGGCGUAAAGCGCACGUAGGCGGUUUGUUAAGUCAGGGGUGAAAUCCUGGAGCUCAACUCCAGAACUGCCUUUGAUACUGGCGAUCUUGAGUCCGGGAGAGGUGAGUGGAACUGCGAGUGUAGAGGUGAAAUGCGUAGAUAUUCGCAAGAACACCAGUGGCGAAGGCGGCUCGCUGGCCCGGUACUGACGCUGAGGUGCGAAAGCGUGGGGAGCAAACAGG
rnacentral:rRNA from 1 species